ACAAACGCACAUUAUUACCUCUCUUUUAUCUGGUAAGGCUAGAGAACGCGAGCCACUCAAACCAAUUUGAGGUCCCUGUUAAUUCUCAAUGGAUACAACCUAAGAAAAGCAAACAUUCAAAGUACUAUAGUUAAAUUGCUCUAAUGAUGAACACAUACAUAGUUUUCAUUAACCAUUCGUAAUGGUCAUGGUCUGGAAUAGGAACCUGAGACAUCAACGACGUAGGCGGAAGCGGAAGCGGAAGACAAAAGAGUGGUACCGAAACACAAUUUAAAAAUGAAGCAUGGGAUGAACUACUAACCUCUUCUGAAGAAUCGAAGUCACCGGAAUCGAAGUAGGGGAAUCAACAGUCGGUGGAACCCUAAUCUGAAAAGAGAAAAGAAAUGAGAGAAGAAGAUUCUAAAGAUGGUAAGGAAAAGCAGUGGAAGACGUAAAUCAUGUUAAUAUAUCGUUUUAAAUUGAGGAUUUAAGCUUCAUCGUGUUAAUAUAUCGUUUUAAAUUGAGGAUUUUGGGGUUUUAAGGAUCUGCAUACGCGUCUUUGCUGAUCUUCUAUUUGCUCUGCGGAUUCUUUAUUGCUCUGCGGAUCUUCUAUUCCUCUUUACUCGAACGCGGAAGGAGAGUAGGGUAGUCGAUUCGCGGAAGGAAGCUGCGGAUGUCGAUUCAUGAUCGGAACGGACACAAAAAUGUCGCGGAGAGCUCGAUUUGCGGAGCAACUGCACUCCGAUGUGUUAUCCGAUGGAUAUGGAACUCAACAUAGUUUGCGUGGAUAGCCUGCAGAAUGUACUUUUAGAGGGGUGUUGGGGACUAUAUUUAAAAAGUUCAUUACAAAACUAAAUAGUAGGCGAGUUGAAUUAUUUUGAGAGACAGCUUUUGGGAUGUUCAUUGGUAUGCCCACCCCUAAUGGUUAGCUGAUGCUCUGUCAUUUGAUGAUGUUGUAUGAGGUUCGUGAUGUAGAGGUAGCCAGGGCUGGGAAGUUUCGGUUCGAGUUACAAGGCAGGGUAGUUGAAUAUGGUGAAAUGAAAUUUUGUUUGAUUAACGGUUUGAGAUUUGGACCGUAUGUUGUUAUAAUAAAUACAAAAGUCAGCACAAGUUCAACAUUAAGGAAUUGGCUGUUCCCUAGUGUGAGAGAUGAAUAUUUACGGAUGAAAGAUUUAGAAGGGUACAUAAAAGGGCUAGCAUUCUCGAUGUGUAGCGAUGAGGAUGCGGUAAUGGUUAUGCAAAUGGUGUUUUUGUUGAGGGGUCUCAUAGGACGAGACAAUAAUACGUGCAUUCUGCCGACAAUGUAUGAGCUAGCCGAUAGUCAAUAUAAUUGGAACAGAUAUCUACGUGAUAAUGAGAGUGUGGGCUACACGAGGAUGAUGAAGUAUACGGUUACCAGUUUUCAACUUCCGUUUAAGGUAUAGAUUUUGGAGACAUUUCCAGAAGCUUUGAGGUUUGUGCAUCACACAGAAAAUGAAAUUCCAAGAAUGAGGGCAUGGAGAAUAAAAACACCAUUAUCUCUCGAACAAUGUUUACGUAUAUUAGACUUUUCAGUGGAAAAUAACAUCCCACGUGUUUUUGAAGCAACGCCUAUUGAGAUCCAUUUUCCAUUCUUUGUGCGUUACGUAAAUUGGACUCUAGACAAAGUUCAGUCGCCACCGCAACAAUAGAGUCCUCCUAAGGAGCAGUCUCCAUCACUGCAACAACAGAGUCCUCCUAAGCAGCGGUCUCCAUCACCUCACCUGUUUAAGUUUUAGGAAGCAGACUACACCUCAGGCUCUCAUUUUCGAGGAGCAGAUUACACCUCAACCUCUCAUUUUCAGGAAACACACCACACAGAAGACAAUAAAAUUGACAAGUUAUUGGGCGUUGUCACUCAAUUAAAAACCAGAAUCGAGCACUUUGGGAAGAGAAUGGAUAGUUAGGAAAAUGAUAAACAAUUUGGUGUGAACGAUAUGAAAAAUGUGGAUGUGGGGGAAGCAUUUUUUCGUCGUUUGGAUCCCGAGUCAAGUCACACGUAUGUGCAGACGCCACCGCUUGUUGUUGUAGUUAAGGAUAACACAGUUACACCGUUAAAAGGGCGGGUAAAAAUGAAAUCGGAAUUUUGUAGGGAGCCUUACACACAAGUAUAAAAUUAAGUAAUUACUAUUUAUAUAGUAUAUAAUCGUUCCAAAUUAAUUAACAUAUUGAUUUUGUAGGUUCCGUCGACGGAACCAUUCAAUAACAGAAAAGGGAAAAAACUAUAGAAGUCCAAUAAUGUAGAAAAAAGACCAUUACUAUUGGACAUUUAUGCAGAUAGUGAUGAAGAAUUUUGGAAAUUGUGGGGAAAGAACAUGGGAGAGGUAUUUUAGGACCAUAGACUUUUAAGAGGUAUUGAGAUGAAUUGAGAAUUUUGAUCAAGUUUACUUGGUAGCUCUCUGAGAUAACAUACAUCCCUUAUUUUAUAUUACAAAAGUGUUGGAUAAUUAAUUGUACAAAAUGAAUUUUUUUUAACAUGCAACAUUUGGUUAUCUGGACGUCCCUGCUCAAGGAAAUAAAUCCGUCGACCUGUAGGUGGAUGAUUAUUAAUCCUAAAGGCAUGACUUUGAAACCUGGGAAACAACAUUAUUUGAUGCGUGUAGCAGCCGGGAUGGUUGAUAGACCACAUUGGAAGCAUAUUGAUCGGGUUUUAAUUCCCAUCAACAUACCGCACUUGCAUUGGUAUUUGGCUAAUUUGGAUAUCCUUACAUGGAAAGUGAGCAUAUAUGAUUUAGCCGAAUGGUGUGGUUUCUUUAAAAGAUAUGCGGGUGACGCUAGUUACGCUAGUUUGAAAUCGUUAGGAGAUAGUAUAUUAAGUGAACUAGAACACAUAUCAUAUUGUGUCCAUUUUCGCAAUAGACAGAAACCUACUAAGGUGGAAUUCGUUAAAGCUAACAUGUGCCACAGCAGUAAAAAGUUGAAGAAGGAGAAAGAGGAGAUUGUGGAGUUUAUGUGUGCGUGUUCAUGGAAAUGCUUCCAUUGGGUGUACCAGUGGAGACACGUCGGUCACCUAGAGAUACUAUAUUUAGUUAUCGUAAUAGGAUGACAAAAAUUAUUUGGAAUAGUAGACUUUGGUUGUAUUAUGAUUAUUGUUUUAAGAAUAUUUUAUUAUGUUUUCAUUAUGUUAUUUGGAAUAGUAGACUAGUCGUCCCUAAUUCUUACUUUAUC